rnacentral:rRNA from 1 species
GAUGAACGCUAGCGGCAGGCUUAACACAUGCAAGUCGAGGGGCAGCAUGGGGAGUAGCAAUACUCUCUGAUGGCGACCGGCGCAAGGGUGCGUAACGCGUGAGCAACUUGCCCUCAUCAGGGGAAUAAUCGCUGGAAACGGCGUCUAAUGCCCCAUGGCGAUGGAAUCAGGCAUCUGGUUCCAUCUAAAGAUCCGUCGGAUGAGGAUAGGCUCGCGUGACAUUAGCUUGACGGCGGGGUAACGGCCCACCGUGGCGACGAUGUCUAGGGGUUCUGAGAGGAAGGCCCCCCACACUGGUACUGAGACACGGACCAG